rnacentral:rRNA from 1 species
CGCGUAGGCGGCUUGGUAAGGGGGCGGUGAAAGCCCGGGGCUCAACCCCGGGUCGGCCGGACCGACUGCCGAGCUCGAGCACACUAGGGGCAGGUGGAAUUCCGGGUGUAGCGGUGGAAUGCGUAGAGAUCCGGAAGAACACCGGUGGCGAAGGCGGCCUGCCGGGGUGUGGCUGACGCUGAGGCGCGACAGCGUGGGGAGCAAACAGGAUUAGAUACCCUGGUAGUCCACGCCGUAAACGAUGGGCACUAGGUGCUCGGGGGAGCGACCCCUUGGGUGCCGGCGCUAACGCAUUAAGUGCCCCGCCUGGGGAGUACGGCCGCAAGGCUGAA